ACUGCAUUGUAUGUAAAAUCAUCGUACCUGAAUCCACUCAUUAUGCUGCUACGGGCCUGAUGACAUAGAUUUCAUUGCUGAGUGAUACUGCAUUGUAUAAUCAUCGUACAUGAAUCCACUCAUUAUGCUGCUAUGGGCCUGAUGACAUAGA